rnacentral:rRNA from 1 species
GGUUCUAAGUACAUACUAUCUCCAGUGAACUGCGAAUGGCUCAUUAAAUCAGCUAUGGUUCCUUAGAUCGUACAAUCCUACUUGGAUAACUGUAGUAAUUCUAGAGCUAAUACAUGCAACAAACCUCCAACCUCCCUGGAAAAAGCCUUUUAUUAAAACAAAACCCAACCGGUCCCUUCCGCUUCCCUUUGAUUGCUGAGUCUGACUUUGUUUUGGCCGAUCGGCCGGCCGCCAGCCACCUACCUUUCUUUUGUAUGCCCGACCUAUUUUCUUUGGAUGGUGCCAGAUCUACCUAGGAUGCAUGCAACAACUAACAAUGAAGGGGGGGCGGCCGGCCGGCCGCGCGCGGCGCCCGGCGAGCGA